rnacentral:rRNA from 1 species
UACGUAGGGGGCGAGCGUUGUCCGGAUUUAUUGGGCGUAAAGAGCGUGUAGGCGGCCAGGUAGGUCUGCUGUGAAAACUCGAGGCUCAACCUCGAGACGUCGGCGGAAACCAUCUGGCUAGAGUCCGGAAGAGGAGAGUGGAAUUCCUGGUGUAGCGGUGAAAUGCGCAGAUAUCAGGAAGAACACCCGUGGCGAAGGCGGCUCUCUGGGACGGUACUGACGCUGAGACGCGAAAGCUAGGGGAGCGAACUGG